UUGUCAAAUCUCACCUGGUUGGUUUGGGAAUUCAAGGUGAAGCAUAAAUUGCUGUAUUGACAGCAAGAUUUAAAGAAAGAAACUGAAAGCAUCGCGUCAUUUUAUCUCAGUUUCUCGAAGAAUUUUCCCGAGAAACAAACAAAUUGCAACCUAUCAGAAAGCUACGUUUGUAACUUCACGUUACAUUCCUCUCCAAUCACACACCGUUUUAGAUAACAAUAGUCAAGUUUAUCCAUUCGCCUCGUUUUAAGCAAUUUUCUUUUUUUUUUCUUUUCCCUCCCAAAAUUUCUCCUCCUGUUUAAAAUUUUCCCGAGAAAACGAAAAGAAAUUGAAUCAAACAUGAUGAGAAGACCACAGCAACACCACCACAACCACCAGGAUCAGCAGUCGA
rnacentral:lncRNA from 1 species